rnacentral:rRNA from 1 species
AUUGAACGCUGGCGGCAGGCUUAACACAUGCAAGUCGAGCGGAGAUGAGGUGCUUGCACCUUAUCUUAGCGGCGGACGGGUGAGUAAUGCUUAGGAAUCUGCCUAUUAGUGGGGGACAACAUUCCGAAAGGAAUGCUAAUACCGCAUACGCCCUACGGGGGAAAGCAGGGGAUCUUCGGACCUUGCGCUAAUAGAUGAGCCUAAGUCGGAUUAGCUAGUUGGUGGGGUAAAGGCCUACCAAGGCGACGAGCUGUAGCGGGUCUGAGAGGAUGAUCCGCCACACUGGGACUGAGACACGGACCAGACUCCUACGGGAGGCAGCAGUGGGGAAUAUUGGACAAUGGGCGGAAGCCUGAUCCAGCCAUGCCGCGUGUGUGAAGAAGGCCUUUUGGUUGUAAAGCACUUUAAGCGAGGAGGAGGCUACCUGGAUUAAUACUCUAGGAUAGUGGACGUUACUCGCAGAAUAAGCACCGGCUAACUCUGUGCCAGCAGCCGCAGUAAAAC